CUACGCACUCCUACGGGAGGCAGCAGUGGGGAAUAUUGCACAAUGGGCGCAAGCCUGAUGCAGCCAUGCCGCGUGUAUGAAGAAGGCCUUCGGGUUGUAAAGUACUUUCAGCAGUGAGGAAGGUGGGUAUGUUAAUAGCAUAUUCAUUUGACGUUAGCUGCAGAAGAAGCACCGGCUAAACUCCGUGCCAGCAGCCGCGGUAAUACGGAGGGUGCGAGCGUUAAUCGGAAUUACUGGGCGUAAAGCGCAUGCAGGUGGUUUGUUAAGUCAGAUGUGAAAGCCCGGGGCUCAACCUCGGAAUUGCAUUUGAAACUGGCAAACUAGAGUACUGUAGAGGGGGUAGAAUUUCAGGUGUAGCGGUGAAAUGCGUAGAGAUCUGAAGGAAUACCGGUGGCGAAGGCGGCCCCCUGGACAGAUACUGACACUCAGAUGCGAAAGCGUGGGGAGCAAACAGGAUUAGAUACCCUGGUAG
rnacentral:rRNA from 1 species